rnacentral:rRNA from 1 species
GACGAACGCUGGCGGCGUGCUUAACACAUGCAAGUCGAACGCUGAAGCUCAGCUUUUGUUGGGUGGAUGAGUGGCGAACGGGUGAGUAACACGUGAGUAACCUGCCUCCUUCUUUGGGAUGACGCCCGGAAACGGGUGCUAAUACUGGAUAUUCACUGGUCUUCGCAUGGGGGUUGGUGGAAAGGGUUUUUCUGGUGGGGGAUGGGCUCGCGGCCUAUCAGCUUGUUGGUGGGGUGAUGGCCUACCAAGGCUUUGACGGGUAGCCGGCCUGAGAGGGUGACCGGGCACAUUGGGACGGAGAUACGGCCCAGACUCCUACGGGAGGCAGCAGUGGGGAAUAUUGCACAAUGGGCGCAAGCCUUAUGCAGCGACGCCGCGUGAGGGAUGGAGGCCUUCGGGUUGUGAACCUCUUUCGCUCAUGGUCAAGCCGCAACAAUGGUUGUGGUGAGGGUAGUGGGUAAAGAAGCGCCGGCUAACUACGUG